rnacentral:rRNA from 1 species
AAUCAACGCUGGCGGCGUGCCUAACACAUGCAAGUCGAACGAGAAAGUGGAGCAAUCCAUGAGUAAAGUGGCGACCGGGUGAGUAACACGUGACUAACCUACCUCCGAGUGGGGAAUAACUCCGGGAAACCGGGGCUAAUACCGCAUAACAUCGCGAGAUCAAAGCAGCAAUGCGCUUGGAGAGGGGGUCGCGGCUGAUUAGCUAGUUGGCGGGGUAAUGGCCCACCAAGGCGAAGAUCGGUAUCCGGCCUGAGAGGGCGCACGGACACACUGGAACUGAAACACGGUCCAGACUCCUACGGGAGGCAGCAGUGGGGAAUUUUGCGCAAUGGGGGGAAACCCUGACGCAGCAACGCCGCGUGGAGGAUGAAGCCCUUUGGGGCGUAAACUCCUUUCGACCAAGACGAUAAUGACGGUACUGGUGGAAGAAGCACCGGCUAACUCUGUGCCAGCAGCCGCCGUAAC